CACGUAGGGCGCGAGCGUUGUCCGGAAUUAUUGGGCGUAAAGAGCUCGUAGGCGGCCUGUUGCGUCCGCUGUGAAAGCCCGGGGCUUAACCCCGGGUCUGCAGUGGAUACGGGCAGGCUAGAGGUAGGUAGGGGAGAAUGGAAUUCCCGGUGUAGCGGUGAAAUGCGUAGAGAUCGGGAGGAACACCAGUGGCGAAGGCGGCUACCUGGACCAGCACUGACACUGAGGCACGAAAGCGUGGGGAGCAAACAGG
rnacentral:rRNA from 1 species